rnacentral:rRNA from 1 species
GACGAACGCUGGCGGCGUGCUUAACACAUGCAAGUCGAACGGAAAGGCCCUGCUUUUGUGGGGUGCUCGAGUGGCGAACGGGUGAGUAACACGUGAGUAACCUGCCCUUGACUUUGGGAUAACUUCAGGAAACUGGGGCUAAUACCGGAUAGGAGCUCCUGCUGCAUGGUGGGGGUUGGAAAGUUUCGGCGGUUGGGGAUGGACUCGCGGCUUAUCAGCUUGUUGGUGGGGUAGUGGCUUACCAAGGCUUUGACGGGUAGCCGGCCUGAGAGGGUGACCGGCCACAUUGGGACUGAGAUCCGGCCAAGACUCCUACGGGAGGAAGAAGUGGGGAAUAUUGCAAAAUGGGCGGAAGCCUGAUGCAGCAACGCCGCGUGCGGGAUGACGGCCUUCGGGUUGUAAACCGCUUUCGCCUGUGACGAAGCGUGAGUGACGGUAAUGGGUAAAGAAGCACCGGCUAACUACGUG